rnacentral:rRNA from 1 species
GUCUGGGGAAUGGCUCGGCUCGGGCGCCGACGAAGGACGUGCCAAGCUGCGAAAUGCGUCGGGUAGGCGCA